rnacentral:rRNA from 1 species
AAGUCGUAACAAGGUCUCCGUUGGUGAACCAGCGGAGGGAUCAUUACUGAGUACUACACUCUCUACCCUUUGUGAACUAUUAUACCUGUUGCUUCGGCGGCGCCCGCAAGGGUGCCCGCCGGUCUCAUCAGAAUCUCUGUUUUCGAACCCGACGAUACUUCUGAGUGUUCUUAGCGAACUGUCAAAACUUUUAACAACGGAUCUCUUGGCUCCAGCAUCGAUGAAGAACGCAGCGAAACGCGAUAUGUAAUGUGAAUUGCAGAAUUCGGUGAAUCAUCGAAUCUUUGAACGCACAUGGCGCCUUCCAGUAUCCUGGGAGGCAUGCCUGUCCGAGCGUCGUUUCAACCCUCGAGCCCCUGUGGCCCGGCGUUGGGGAUCUGCCACGGCAGGCCCCUAAAACCAGUGGCGGACCCGAAGGGCCCUCUCCUUUGCGCAGUAGCAUUCGCCUCGCAUCGGGAGUCCUCGGCGUCCUGCCUCUAAACCCCCCACAAGCCCGCUUCGGCGGCACCAAGGUUGACCUCGGAUCAGGUAGGAAUACCCGCUGAACUUAA